GCCCUUCGGGGUAGUCGAGUGGCGAACGGGGGAGUAACACGUGGGUGAUCUGCCCUGCACUUUGGGAUAAGCCUGGGAAACUGGGUCUAAUACCGAAUAUGAUCAUCGGCUUCAUGGUCGGUGGUGGAAAGCUUUUGCGGUGUGGGAUGGGCCCGCGGCCUAUCAGCUUGUUGGUGGGGUAAUGGCCUACCAAGGCGACGACGGGUAGCCGGCCUGAGAGGGUGACCGGCCACACUGGGACUGAGAUACGGCCCAGACUCCUACGGGAGGCAGCAGUGGGGAAUAUUGCACAAUGGGCGCAAGCCUGAUGCAGCGACGCCGCGUGAGGGAUGACGGCCUUCGGGUUGUAAACCUCUUUCAGCACAGACGAAGCGCAAGUGACGGUAUGUGCAGAAGAAGGACCGGCCAACUACGUGCCAGCAGCCGCGGUAAUACGUAGGGUCCGAGCGUUGUCCGGAAUUACUGGGCGUAAAGAGCUCGUAGGUGGUUUGUCGCGUUGUUCGUGAAAACUCACAGCUUAACUGUGGGCGUGCGGGCGAUACGGGCAGACUAGAGUACUGCAGGGGAGACUGGAAUUCCUGGUGUAGCGGUGGAAUGCGCAGAUAUCAGGAGGAACACCGGUGGCGAAGGCGGGUCUCUGGGCAGUAACUGACGCUGAGGAGCGAAAGCGUGGGGAGCGAACAGGAUUAGAUACCCUGGUAGUCCACGCCGUAAACGGUGGGUACUAGGUGUGGGUUUCCUUCCUUGGGAUCCGUGCCGUAGCUAACGCAUUAAGUACCCCGCCUGGGGAGUACGGCCGCAAGGCUAAAACUCAAAGGAAUUGACGGGGGCCCGCACAAGCGGCGGAGCAUGUGGAUUAAUUCGAUGCAACGCGAAGAACCUUACCUGGGUUUGACAUGCACAGGACGCUGGUAGAGAUAUCAGUUCCCUUGUGGCCUGUGUGCAGGUGGUGCAUGGCUGUCGUCAGCUCGUGUCGUGAGAUGUUGGGUUAAGUCCCGCAACGAGCGCAACCCUUGUCCUAUGUUGCCAGCGGGUUAUGCCGGGGACUCGUAGGAGACUGCCGGGGUCAACUCGGAGGAAGGUGGGGAUGACGUCAAGUCAUCAUGCCCCUUAUGUCCAGGGCUUCACACAUGCUACAAUGGCCGGUACAAAGGGCUGCGAUGCCGUGAGGUGGAGCGAAUCCUUUCAAAGCCGGUCUCAGUUCGGAUCGGGGUCUGCAACUCGACCCCGUGAAGUCGGAGUCGCUAGUAAUCGCAGAUCAGCAACGCUGCGGUGAAUACGUUCCCGGGCCUUGUACACACCGCCCGUUACGUCAUGAAAUUCGGUAACACCCGAAGCCGGUGGCCUAA
rnacentral:rRNA from 1 species